rnacentral:lncRNA from 1 species
AGAGUUAACUUAAGCCUUACACAUAAAAAGUGACUUCUUAAAUAAUGUUAUAGAGAUUUACGUGUUUUAGAAUUCCUACUUUAAACAUAAUUCCCUCCUCUCUAUCACAAAUCUAAACUUACACCUAUUUCUUUUCCUCUCUAUUUUUCUUUUUUCUCUCAAAUAUGUUAUUCUUCUUCAAAUUUUCUUCCGCUUCUUUUUAUGAAAUCUUCAUCCUUGUUUUUUCCUUCUCUUCCGAAAUCUCUUCUCCUUCUCUUCUUCUUCUCAAAUAUCUUCUUCUUUUUCUUCGAAUUUGCUGUUCUUCUUCUUCGAAAUCCAUUAUCCUUCUCUUCUCCUUCUCAGAUCUCUUUUUCUUAUGCGAAAUCUCUUCUCUUUCUAUAUAUUCUCCUUCUCAGAUCUCUUUUUCUUUUUCGAAAUCUGUCUUAUUCUCUCUGUUUUUUUCAUUUUUCUUCAGUUUCUUCUUCUUUUGAUUACCUGUCAGUUUCUUUUUCAUUCUUAUUUGAUUUUCUU